UUAAGCUGGUUGGUACACAGUCGAGUUCACCCACAGAGUAUUUUAAUUUACUAUUUCUUCUAAUUGCUUGUGUUGAAUAAACCUUCAGUAGGUUCUUUUUGACCUACAGAGAAAGCAGAUGGAUUACACCAACCUCACACUUUUUAUCUUUAUAUGGAUUUUUGUUCCAUCCUGAUGAUCAGAAGAGUGUUUGAGGAUUUAACAGAUUUCUUGAGAACAACAUGGACGUUAAACCUGUAAAUCCUGAACCAUGAAAUCAUUGCUCGAUCAUUCAAAUUUUAUUGGUCCAACGCAUCAAACGUGACUCCAACGUCACUUCCGUACGAGACGUUGCAUCCUGUAAGUGUGGAGUUUGACCGAGCGGCUGAACGACAGAUCGGUUCUAACAGUCAGUGACUUUCAGCUUUAUUUAAACCUUAAAUUUAAUCUCGUUUUGUCAGGUUUAAACUCAGGUUCAGUUAUUGAGUGAAAACACCAACAGACUCAGACAUUUAGGACAAACUAAGAGUCAGAUGAGCAGAAACAGAGAACACGGACAUGUCUGCUGUAACUGCGUCACUCUGCUCCACUUUGCUGAUGUUCGAUGGAGUCUUCAUGUUUGUCUCUGCAGAUUUUCCACCCUGAUGACCACAGAGGCCUUUGAGGCUUCCAGACGUCCUUCACAACAACAACCAGGAAAUCAUCACAGCUGAGUCUGGACAGAACGUCACGCUGACAUGUCGAGCUUCAAACAACAUUAUAGCAGUAAACUGGAGCAGAGCUGACCUGGGAACAAAAUAUGUCCUUUUUUACCGGGAUGAGCAGUUUGUUCCAGACCGCCAGCAUCCAUCUUUUAAGAACCGUGUGGAUCUGCAGGACAGACAGAUGAAGGAUGGAGACGUGUCUUUGAUUCUGAAGAAUGUGACGAUUAAUGACACUGGAACAUACGAGUGUCGAGUUGCCCAAAAAGAACCAAACCAAGAGAUAUCCAGUUUGAAGCUCAUCAGCAUCAUCUACCUUCAUGUUGAUCCUCCAGGUCAGACAGGAGGAUCUGUUGGACUGAUCGUUGGUCUGUCAUUUCUUGCUGUGCUUCUUGUUGCUGCUGUUGCUGGAUUUUUGGUCUGCAGAAAACGUGAGAAAACAAAGAGUCAGGAUCCAUACCAGAUUCCUGCUGAACUGCAGCCUGUUUGAAAUGUGAGUUUCUUACAGCUGAGCUCCUGGAGUCUGAGUCUCCUGAUGAGCCAGAGUUCAUUUAUUGUUAUUGAACAUUCAGAAGAUGAUCUGAGGACAGACAUCAGUCAGCUGUCGGUGAUUUGAAGUUACUGUUUUUGUUUGUUUGUUUGCUUUGUGUGCAUCAGUAUUAGUUAUUAGUUUGUUUUAGCUUCCAGGUUAGUCGCUCAUCUCAGUGGAAGAGUUUAUGUCCUUAAACAGUGUUAUUUACACCUUUGCCUUAUUUCUAUGUGGAACAUUCAGGACUUCAUCAUUCAAACAAAGUUUGUUGUCUCUGUUAAAAUAUCAGUGAGUUUGUUUCAUCUUCAGGUUCAGCUGUUUGUAAGGUCAGACUCACAGACUGAUCCUCAUGUUUAGAUUUGCAUGAACAUGCUUUUCAGCAUCUCUUUAUUGACCACUUUUCACACACGGUUGCUGUACGCAUACAGCCGGCUGCAGCUUUUCAGCUCACAGCCCGACACAUACCAACACAACAGCAUAGAGAGCACAGAUGUAAAGGCGGCGAGGCGUGAUUGCGGGUGCCGCUCAGGUGCGUCCGCCUCCCAAUUAUUAGUAUUAAUAUUAUUAUUAUCUAUUCUCUAUAGAUUUAUACUCCAGUGUUUGGCGCCCCUGAAGUCCUCAGAGAGGUUCGAACAUCAGCACAAGAUGAUUUUGAAAAGAAUCUAGAGACCUGUAGUUUCUUGUUUUUACAUAAUGAUUUGAGAUCCUGCAGCUUCCACAGAACAACAACAUGUGCUGAUAAUCAGUGAACAUAAUGUGUGAGAGAAAGCAGCCUCUCAUUAUAAGACACUGUGAGUCUCUGCAUGCUGCCUUUAUGGAGCUACAGCUGUUUGUAUACACUGAACAAAAAGCUUUGUAGCUGUAUACUGACUCCUGACACUACAACACAGAGCAGAGUAAUUACAGCAGACAUUUCUGUGUUCUCGAUCUGACUCUUAGCUUUUUCUAAAUUUCUCACAGUCUGUCAUGCGAUUAAAAUUUAGGUUUAAAAAAAAAACACCCCUGAAAGCCACUGUGUCAGUAACACAACACAAAGUGCUCAGGGUCCAUUUAUCAGCUAGAACUGAGUGACUGAAUAAUCUGAUAUUAUUAUGAAACCAAAGAGAAAUGUGUUACAUGGAGCUGCAGGGUCACAUGUUUCCUCCUCUGAUCUAUGAAGCCUUAACUUGUUCCUCCAUGAAGGAGACUCUUCAGUUUAAACACGUCAAGAUUAUUUAUUAUUUUAUUUUUUAUACCAGUUUAUCGAUAAAGUUUAAACGUGUUACUCUUGAAUGUUUUUCUUUGCUUCCUGUAGCUGUAAACAUUUCCUGAACUCCUGUUUAAAUGUGUGCAGAUUUGAUCUUGAAUGUAACAGUGUGAACAUUAAUAUACUUAACUUGACAUUAUUACAACCUGUGAUCUGUGGAAGCUCAGUAUUGCCUCCUCUCAGAGGAGGUAAAAGACAGUGUUGAAACCUGGCUGUUCAUGAUGUUUGUGUAUGUGUUGUGUUAUUGAGCACAACACUGUACACAGUUUUUCUGUGUUAACAUCUUUGUGCCUAAUUUAUGGGACAAGCAUGUUAAAUGUUAAUGAGAAGAGCUACAAGUUGAUUUGUACUUUGAAAUGAUCAAACAUUCAUAUUUCACGAUACACUUUCUAUGCGAGCUAGCUUCUGUGCUACUAAAACCUGCUGUUAUUUUGCUGUUAAUGUAUCCUGUUCAUAUGCACAUAAUAAACAUAAUCUCUGAAUGAUAAACAAA